CCUACGGGCGGCAGCAGUGGGGGAUAUUGCACAAUGGGGGAAACCCUGAUGCAGCGACGCCGCGUGGGUGAAGAAGGGCCUCGGCGCGUAAAGCCCUGUCAGCAGGGAAGAAAAUGACGGUACCUGAAGAAGAAGCCACGGCUAACUACGUGCCAGCAGCCGCGGUAAUACGUAGGGGGCAAGCGUUAUCCGGAUUUACUGGGUGUAAAGGGGGCGCAGACGGCGAUGCAAGCCAGGCGUGAAAGCCCGGGGCCCAACCCCGGGACUGCUCUUGAAACUGCGUGGCUAGAGUGCAGGAGGGGCAGGCGGAAUUCCUGGUGGAGCGGUGAAAUGCGUAGAUAUCAGGAGGAACACCGGUGGCGAAGGCGGCCUGCUGGACUGCAACUGACGUUGAGGCCCGAAAGCGUGGGGAGCAAACAGGAUUAGAUACCCUUGUAGUC
rnacentral:rRNA from 1 species